CUCGCCUCUUUGAAGUCGGAAUCGCUAGUAAUCGCAGAUCAGCAUGUUGCGGUGAAUACGUUUCCUGGUCUUGUACACACCGCCCGUCAAACCAUGAGAGUCGCCAACACCCGAAGUCCGCUUUGCGGCCUAAGGUGGGGGAGAUGAUUGGGGUUAAGUCGUAACAAGGUAGC
rnacentral:rRNA from 1 species